rnacentral:tRNA from 2 species
AUUAUUUAGGCGGACUAGCGCGUUAAGUUUAGAACUUAAAAUUAGGGUAACCAAAUAAUA